CUCAAUUAAAGAGAGCACCAUGUGUGACAUGUUAAACUUGCAAUUACACUAAGAGCUAAGGAAGGUCAGCAUCAUUGCAUUUAUACUAUCAGGAACACAGCUGGUGAUCAAAAUGGCUUGGUGUUAAACACAAACAGAAAACUGAAAAUUAACAGAAAGAUUAAACACAAUUUAAAGAGUCACUCUAGUCAUCAAAGCAGC